GGCGCCCUCAGAGCGGAGCCCGUCCCGCGCGGCUGCGGGAUGCGUGUGGUGCCAAGGGCCCGUGCUCUGGCCGUAGCGGGAAGGGAAGGGUUAAGCUGCUUGCAGCCGUGUUAAAUAUAUAUAUAUAUGUAUAAAUACAGAAAUAUUUCAGCUUAGCCCUCUCGGACCGCACUUGGCGGGAACAUUUCUUCGCACGUAUCUCUAUAAAGCGCCGUGCAGGCCGCUUGUACAAUCCCGUGCCUUCAGAUGCCCGUUAGAAACCACCGCCCGGCCCUGCACAGGGGACGGAUCUCACGUCCAGAGCUUCCUACAGUAUGAAGGCCCUCGCCGUGAAAUAAAUAAGUCUGCGUGAGGCAAACGUGUGCGGAGAGCCCUAAUCAGUCAGAUUGCACACGUAUUCCUUCCUGCUAGACGCUGCUGGCCAAGCACGAGCUCUAAAGAACCUCGUAAUUGCUUGGAGACCAUUGCUGGGAGCAUAGGGGCCUCUCAGGAAGUCGAUUUUCUUUUGUUUGAUUCAAGAAAAACAUUCUGAGCUGCUAAAAAAUACAAUCUCCUCCUAAAAUGAAGCACAAAUUGCCAUGAAAUUGGGGAAAAAGAAGGGGGAAAAAAAAAAAAAAAAGUAGCAGCAACAGAAGCAUACGCUUCCAGACUUCGGAACAAUGACUGCUGAAUUCUCUUCUCUUUAUUCUCCUGAUUGUUUUAUGAAGAAAUCGAACGUAGAAAGAAAAAAAAAAUGAAAUUAAGGCUCUUUUAUGGCCAGUGAAUGGAGGCAGUGAUUGUUCGUGCUAUGAACAACUCCACGCUGUGUAGCGUAGAUGCUGUGAGCUGUACAGCAGCCAGCCAGUCGCGGGAGAGCAGACCUUUUUCCAUGCCAGAGGGGAUCUGUUUCCUCACUGCUGGCAGCACAGGGAAGUGAAAUGAGUGAAAGAGGAUCUGGCACACGGACAGUUCAGCUGUAAAGCCUGAGUCAUAGGCUUGCAAUCAGAGAACAAACCAAGCAGAUAAGGAGCACAGUGAGUGCCCGCACAGCAGGCAGGGUCCGCUUGUACUUCAGCUGUGUGCAGAAGAGGUGCUGCUGUCCUCAUGCAUAGCAAGGCAGUAAGGAAGGUGGGUACCUUUGGCUACGUGUUCUGUUCCACAGGUGCAAAAAACUGCUCCAGCCCCACCAGCUUUCAACUGGGGACUCCAAACUUUUCACAGAAAGAAUACCGUCCAUAAAAAGGUGCCGCCUGCUGCUCCUGCAAAGACCCAUUCGUGCCCAUCUGAGCAGCACGCCAUAGAAAAUUCACCAUUUGCACAUGUGCACGACAGUUGCUCAUUAUUUCUGAAAGUUCAUACUUCUGCUGUGCUGGUUCGCGUAUACUGCCGGCCCCACUGAGCCCCCCACAUAGUUUCCUAGCAACUAGAUAGAAAUAUAACUCUGAGCUUGGCACCAGCAGAGCAGAUUCUGCCGCUGCUUUCCCCCAGGCACACACUGCGGUCUGGGAUAGAAUGCACUGGGCAAAGAGAUCAGGGCAGCGCAGGCCAGGAGUCUCCCAGGGGCUGGCAUUAGUCAUUCCUCACACUUCCACACGAAGCCUGGGGUUCCCGCUCCCCGAGGUGGGGACACGUGCUGCUCAGUCCUGCCUUACCCGUGCAUGUUAAGCAAGGGGGAAGUCAUGGAGAUGCCACAAAACCUGAUCUAAAGUCCUUGUCCCACGACAAUCUGUAACAAAGCUGUUACUGACUGCAGCAGGCAAGAGUUUUUGCCUUGGAUAAUACAGCAACACAGGUUUCAGCUGCUAGAUUAUAGUGAGAGGAAAUGUGGCAUGCACAGUUUUAGUCAAUAGCGAGUCCACUUUUCCUUGUCUAGAGAACAGCUGGAGAGUCCCGAUGCACACCGCCCUUUUCUGCCUCGCUCACAGUCUGCCCUUAUGCACUUCUAUUUGUUUAAUCCUCUGUUGAAGUAUUUCAGGAGCACAAUCACUGCUCUGCCGCACCACCACAUCAUCACCAGAACAAAUUAAGAAGAAGAAGGUUAGGAGAUUAUAAACCGGAGAUUUAAAAAAGUAGAAAGUCUCUUCAAGGCUGCCUUCGGCUCUUCAACUGUCUUUAGUAAUACAGUACAGGAAAGUAUUACUUCUUCCCCCAGAUCCUUGCCUCACUCAGUACACAAGAUUGCUGAGGAACUGUAACAUCAUUGUUUUUAAUAGGAAAAAAAAAAAAAAAAGUAGCUGAGACUUAAUGGUAGCAUUUAAAUGGCAUACAGAGCCUUUUGAGUUCACACCUCAUUAAGGUGCACAGGAAGGGAAGGGGUGCACAUCUUUGUUGUUACUUUUGCCUCGCAGCAUUUUCAGCCAUGCUAUGUGAACAGAGCAGCAGCACAUUAACUGACUUUGUAACAGCUGUAUUUUUGUAGCAGAUUUUUUUUUUUUUUUUUUUUUUUUGAGUUUAGAAAUUGCAGAACAUUGUGAAAUGAAGCCAGGGCAGGCCCUUGGAGGACAAUUAUUCUGGUUUCUUAUUUUUUUGCAAACCAAUCUACCAGAUCUAAGUCUCCUUCCUGCUCCAGUUAGAGGUCUCUUUCUACUGAACUUGCCAAAUCUCUCCUGUUUAUGAGAUCGUCCUAGAGCUCCCAAAUUGAUGUGGCAAAGUACUUCCUGCUGUGGAAACAGACGUGCAUACAUGUGCUUGCCAAGCCCACGUGUGAAAGUGUACCUGAAUAGCUACAUAUAACCUGUACUCAUGUAACAGACUCUUUAAUCAUCUUACAGUUAACAUAGGUGAUGAUUGGAUUUGGUCCUGGGAUAGUUUUGGUGCUAGGAUUUCUGACCUCAUCUUCUAAGGCCAUUAGCACUCCUUGGUUACAGGGUGUGUUCCAAAGCAGUCAGAGGAAGAACUUCUCUGUUCCUCCCGAACUCCUAUGAGAAAGCACUUUUAUCCCACUGACUUACGUGACGGAAGCAGCUCCAGCUCCCCACUUUCAUUUCUGCCCUAUCCUCUUGGGUCAGCCUGGACCCGGAUCAACCACACAUGAAUGUGGAGUUAAGCAUUACUGCAACAGGAUGCAGCGGAGAUUAAGGAAAGCAGCAAAGGUUGUUUUCGUGUGGACACCUUACUGUCACAUGAGGAUUUCAAGGAAAAAUAAAACAUGGAGGAGAGCUUAUCUGUGCUGAUAGGUACUAAUGUGGACUGGCAGACACCUGUUGCAUGCUGAAGAUCUCUGGGCUCUCUACAUUCACACCAGAAUGACACCUUGUCCAGAAGAAAGCUACUGUCUCAGCAUAUAGUCUUGGGACAUUCAGAAUUUCUGCAUGAACAAAGAAGUAUGCAUGAAACUUUACCAGAAACAUUCCCUGACCGUUGUCUCCAGGAUCUGCUCACAAGGGUAGAAACCCCAGCUCAGAGUGGAUGAUUUUAUGCCUGGCAGCAUUUUCUGCCAGAUUUCUAUAGGUCUGUGUUGUUCUGCUGUCAGCAAGACAGUGGAGGAUCUUAAGGUAGCAGAGAUUCUUAACAUGAUUUAUGCCCUUGUUCUUACUGCUUACGUGCUUAAAAUAACAGCUAAUAUUUGAGAUAAUUGACUUUACAUGCUUCUCUGCAGUAUUGGCAAUUGUGGAUACUGCACUUUACCUAACACGGAGAAAACCUGUCUAUCUCAGCCUGAAAGACAACACAGACUUCCAUAACACAGAGAGGAAAGAUGACCAGCAUGAUGUCCUAGAGGUGACAGUUACCAGCUUGA